UGCCUUUUGUGUUGCCCAUUCAUUUUUGUUACUAAUGACUGCGGUGUCAAAAAAGGCGUAAAGAAACCUCCUCCACAGUAUCCCUCGGCACUGGGGGUGAGUCUCCUCUGCCAUUUGGCUGUGGAAGGAACAGUU
ensembl:snoRNA